rnacentral:lncRNA from 10 species
AAAAAAAAAAGAGUUGUUGCUUUGUUCAGGCUCAAAAGCUUGUGUGUGACUUGCAGGUCUUCAACUCUGAACCCAGGACUGAGUAGAAACUGGAGCCGAGUCAUCUACACAUCCAGCCGGCCAUGAACCAGUGCAGCUUUGGAGGUAGCUCCCAUCUGCUCUCCAUCAAGAGACAUAGGUGCUGUCUGUUAGAAGAGAGACCCGAUGGUGACUUGCUUCACUUUCACUCUCAAAUUCAGUAAGACCAUGCCAAUUAAAAGAGGAAAUUCCAGGAGUCAGCAGAAAGGAAACAAAAAGAGAAGGUGAUAGAGGAGAGGGGAGACCAAGUGAAGAGGAUGGAGAAGAAACUAUAAAAAUAAGAGAAGAAGAAGAGUUCAUGGCAAAUAUAGGAAAGAGCCACGAGACAAGAAGGAUGGAAAUGGGCAGAUGAGAGAAAAGGGAAGAGAGUCUGGGUUCUGAGUUGUUUGCAUUAUUUGUGUACAGCGUGCGUUCCUUUGGGCUGUCAAUAUUAUUUCAAGAUAGAAGCACCAAGGUGUUUCCUUACCUAAUCUCUGAAGUGGCAGACCAUCAUCACUUCUGCCGGGUUCUAUUGGUCAAGCAUACCAACCUUUACAAAGUGGCAGGGAGCUAUGCAAGGAUGUGAAUACCAGGAGGAUAGGAUCCCUGGGAAUGACUUGGAAGGUAGGUGGCAUGGUGGGCAGAACCCACAGCCUAGGGUGAGAUGGCAGGAAUGUGGAAUUCCAGUACCUUAAUGUGAUAUGAACUGAUCUGAGUGAAUGUGUUUGAACACUCACCACAUGCCAAGAGCUCUUCUAAUCUCUUUGCAUGUAGCAUCUCAUUUAACCCUCUUGACAACUUACCGAGGCAGACACUCUUUAUCUAGAGGAGGAAAGUGAGGUACAGAGGUUAGUAGCACAGUGAUAAAGCUGUUAUAAGGAAGGACUUGCCAGGACCUGGAGAGAGACUGGGUGUGAGGAAGGUA